GCGAAGGUGGCGGAAUUGGAAGACGCGCUAGCUUCAGGUGUUAGUGUCCUUACGGACGUGGGGGUUCAAGUCCCCCCCCUCGCACCA
rnacentral:tRNA from 2 species